ensembl:lncRNA
UGCAAAUGGUGUGUAUCGAUCAAAAUCAUAAUGAGCACGUUACGUUUGCAGACCUUUAUGGGGUCAUGACAGGUGCAAGUGCUUAAAGCCUGUAGGAGAAGGGUGUAAUGUGGUUAUGUUGUUCCACAGUGUCUUCCUGUAUGUGGUGGCUAAAGGACAUGGAAAAAGGAUGAGGAGAGCAGAGGAGAUAAUGGAUGGUGUGCGAUCUGUUUGGCCUCCUGAUGCUGAUGGAUGCCUGUGGCACUUUCCUGCCUCAUAAUGCAUAAACACACACACACACACACACACACAGGAACACAGUCAUACAUACACAGGCGCAUCCCUGUCUCUGCAUCUCUCUCACUUUUUCUCAGUCUUUUGGGAAAGUCACUUCCAGGAGACAUAUUUCUGUCCUCCUGUACAGACAGUGAAGAGGAGAGAACUACCUGCUGGGACAUCACAAGCAUCAGAGCCUUACCUGAUUGCGCUAUAUUUGAAGCCAUGGAACAAGCAGAGAAUAAAACCACCUCGCCACAAAAGCAGAAUCGGUCCAAAAAUCGAUCCAAAUCGACAGAUGAGGUGCAGCAAGCAAAAAAGGCCUUUCACACACCACAGAAGUCUCUUCCAGCUAAACCAGAGACGGAGAAGUUGGAGGCGGACACCGAGGAGCUUAGCGCUUCAACCGAGGAGCUAAAAUAAUGGCAUCACUCAGACUGGGGUUACAGGAAAAUUUACAUAAAUCUACAAAAUGCAUCUUGUUUAUACCACUGAUACCACUAAUACCAUGUCUUCUGCCAUAAGAUGUGUAUUCUUGCAUUAUUCAUUAGUCAGUCAAAACAAUAAAACAUAUCACAAUUCUGUUGAAAACAGCGAAAAGUUUGAAGGGAUUUUUCCCCCUAACGCAGAUCUUAGCCCUAGUCUAAAAUUGUUGAGGCAUGAACCCUGGAUUUUAUUUAUUUAUGACGAUGAGUAAACAAUCAUCAGUGGAUCCUGUCAAAUGUUUGUCUGUAAUAUAAACUGCAUAAAUUCUAUGCUUGUAAUGAUCUAUAAAGCAUUACUUCACAAACCUUUGGUAGUUUUUUUGAAAAAAAAAAAAUCUUUUCACAUAAUAUUUUAGAAAGGAAUAUGAUUGUUCCCAUGAUGAAUUUUGGAACUAUUACACCACCAGCGUUGUCAUGUUGAGUGUUUAAAGCUUGACACUCCCCAUGGUAUGUUGCAAUGGCCAAUUAUGAAGCAUUAUUGUUUUAAACUCAGGGAUUAUCCCAGCACCCUUUCAAGGCAAAAAGCAGUUUGAGGCUCUUGCAGGAGGUAAGUGAAGCUGUGAGGCCUGAUAGGCUGUCAAGUCACACACACAUCCUCUCACACACACACACACGCACACACACACACGCACACACACACUGAAAGCUCCUAUCACUGGGACGUGGAAAG